UACGGGGGGAGCAAGCGUUGUUCGGAUUUACUGGGCGUAAAGGGCGCGUAGGCGGCCACCGCAAGUCGGUUGUGAAAUCUCUGGGCUUAACCCAGAAAGGUCAACCGAUACUGCGGGGCUAGAGUGCAGAAGGGGCAACUGGAAUUCUCGGUGUAGCGGUGAAAUGCGUAGAUAUCGGGAAGAACACCCGUGGCGAAGGCGGCUCUCUGGGACGGUACUGACGCUGAGACGCGAAAGCGUGGGGAGCGAACAGG
rnacentral:rRNA from 1 species